rnacentral:rRNA from 1 species
GAUAACGGGUGCGAUCAUACCAGCGCUAC